rnacentral:lncRNA from 1 species
UCUACUACCGUUUUUCAUCACCUUUUUAUCAACAAUACAUCACUGCUGAUGGUUUUCUCCCCAGCUUCUCAUGGUCACUUAUCUCUUUUUCUGAACUUCUACACUCUUUCAUUUGGAUUCUUGGUCAACCUUCUCGAUGGAGGCCUAUAUCUCGGACAGUAUUCCUAGAAAGAUUACCGGAAGACGAAGAAUUACCUCCAAUAGAUGCACUGCAGAUCCAAACAAAGAACCAACUAUAGGAGUGUUGAACACAGUGAUAUCAGCUAUGUCUUUAGACUACCCUUCUGAAAAGCUCUUUGUGUAUGUGUCCGAUGAUGGGGGUGCACCUAUUACUUUGUUUGGUAUGAUAGAAGCUUAUAGUUUUGCUAAACAAGGGAUUCCUUUUUGUAAGAAAUAUGGAAUAAAAACAAGAGCUCCAGAUGCUCAUUUCUCGCAAUCAGAUCAUCAAAAGGAAAAUGGUUCAAUGAGUAAUGAAUUUGCUGAAAUUAAUUCGAAAGGAAAUGGAGGUGAGCUAACAUUUCGAUCUUAUCGCGUACUCUUACAGUGCAUCAUAAAAUUUAGUUACUUUUACUGUUUUACACGUCUAAUUAACAAGAUUCAAUCCAGGUUAGGUAUCAAGUGUUUAAGCAACGGGUGCAGAAAGCAAGAUCAAGUGGUGCUGCAAGCUUAUCUUCUGGUUCAGAUCGACCUCCUAUUAUCGACGUAAAUUAAGUUUAAUUUGGUGGUAUUGACAUGUUUACAGUAUAUUGAUUUAGGCAAAUUAGAUUUUGUGGACUUGCUGACCCUGAAUUCGAUUAUGGCAGGUCAUACAAAAUGAUGCAGUCGAUGGUGAAGUAAAAGAAAAUGAUCAAGCCAAGGUGGCUCUUCUAAUUUAUGUUUCGCGUGAAGAAAGACCAACUCAUCCACACCAUUUCAAACCAGGAGCUCUUAAUGCCCUUGUAUGUUUAAUUGUUUAUAUUUAUUCCUCUCCCUUCUAGUGUUCUACGACACAUUAUGAUGUACUGGUCACUUCGAUCAGCAUGACGUACUGGUAUUAAUUAACGACCAAUAACCUCUUGACGCAUGUCCUUGUUGCAGCUUCGUGUGUCAGGCAUAAUAAGCAAUUCUCCAUACAUGUUGGUCUUAGAUUGUGAUAUGAAUUGCAGUGACCCAACCUCUGCUAGACAAGCUAUGUGUUUCCACAUUGAUCCUGACAUCUCUCCCUCGUUGGCUUUUGUUCAAUUUCCUCAACUGUUCCAUAAUCUCAGUAAGAAUGACAUCUAUAAUGAUCUAUUGAGAACCGGAUGUGAGGUAUAUCUACGUUAAACGAGUCUUGUAUAGCUAAUUAACGUCUCAGAGUCGGGAUAAUCUAGGUUAUUAAAACUGUUCUGAUUAUAUUUGCAAUCGGACGUCGUUAUAUUUCAGGUGCAGUGGUAUGGUCUGGAUGGCCUACGGGGGCCACUUUUAUCUGGCACUGGCUUUUAUACGAAGAGAGAAGCUUUGUUUAGAAGUCCUACACAAAAAGGUUUAGCAAAAAACUUAGGGACGGGUUCCUUCUUCUACUGACUUAUGUAAAGUGUUUUUUUUUUUUUUUUUUUUGAUAAUUAAGUUUAACACCUUAUUAAAAUUAAAACUGUCAGAAACAAGUUACAAGAAGUUAACAUGGACAGUGAGAGAGACACUCACUCUCCUUGCAGGCCUAAUCAACUCUUUAUUGUGCAGAUCUAAGUCACAUUAGGAAUAGGCAAGAUGUCGGUUGUUCAAAUGACUUCAUCACAUCACUUCAUCCUGAUAACAAAGUUAAAGCAAUUAGCAAUAAUCAACAUGUAUCAAGCAGAUUGCUUGAAGAGGCCAGACUUCUGGCUUCUUGCACAUACGAGUAACAAACACAAUGGGGUGAACAGGUAAGUUAAUUUCCAAAUGAAUAAACAAACCAUCUCAUGUCAUUAUGACCCUAUCAGUAUUGUUCCAUCAAAAUUUUUAUAAGAAUGAGAAGUACGGACAAACUGAUUUAAGCUACAAGAUAAUAUUCAGCUCUCAUAUUAAAAAUGUGUUAGUAUCAUAAUAACUGAGCUGCAUAAGUGCUUCAGCUUAGGAUCUACAUAAAAAAUACGAAAUUCCAUCAGUAAUUACUUACUCUUUACCUAGUGUCUUACCUCUCUUUCUUUCUUAAUGGCGUUUUCUGAAAUAUCCAGACCUACAACAUAACGUUCAGGGCCAACAAUUGCAAUCACAUGAUGAUCUUGUUGGCUAUAAUAAGUAAGUACAAUAUAACGUGCAAACUAAUAAAACAUAAAAAUUAAACAAGUUUGUUGAACAGUUUUAAUUAGAGACCAAAUGUUGUUACAUGCGUGAAAACGCCACUUUCACUUAUAAAUGACCAUUGCAUCAAAAUGUCAUGUCAUCAGAUAAAAUUUUAACAUUUUGGAACAUGUACUCACAUGCUGAAACAAUAACAAACAUGUAAACACUUACAGUGUCACAUACUGGGAUUAGAACCCUGCCUUUUGGAAGAGGAAGAGCAGCUGGUUUGUAGAAGAUUUAAAAUAACAGGUGUUGGUCCUCGCAAAUCCCCAUAGUGUUCAGUGCUUUUUCCUAGCAUUAUUUGUCCCAGGCACCUAGUCAUUCAAACUUAAACAAAAUUCAGAAAUUCAAUAGUUGUAAUGGACAGAACGACUUAGAAAUUAAACACAAGUUUUCCUUUGAGCUUCCAAUGUAGUCAAUUAUGUUGAUGUAAAAAUCCAUUAAGGCCAUUAUGCUAUGCUUCUUGAAGCAGAUUUACAAACAUUCUACAAAUAAGUCAAAGUGUUGCAAGGUUUCUGUUACAUGUUCGAUAAUCUAAUUCUCACUGGUAUGAUUAUGUAUUCACAUUAUCACUUCAAAUUUUCAUCAUCAUCAUCAUCAUCAUCAUCAUACUCAAAUUAUCACAAAUAAGAUAUUGAAUUCCAUGGAAAUUGAAGAAUAUACAAUUAAAUUAAACAACAAUAAAAAGAAGAGUAGAGAUGAGAUGAGAUGAGAUAGUAAGGAGAGAGUGUCAGACCUGUUGAAUCAUUGUUAACGAAUUGGUUCAAGUUAGGUAGAUUUUAGUUGUUGUUGUUGUUCGAAAUCUUCUCUUGAUCUCUUCUCUUUCACUUUGUUUCCUCAUGCUCCUUCGUUCCAACCUAUUGCAAGUUGCAACAACAAAGAUUUUUCACUCUUGUUGUUGUUAAAUGUAAAUGAAGGAAACUGCAAUUGGAUUUGGAGAGCGAACGAACAAGAUUACAAGAGUGUUGCGCGCAAGCAAACAUUACCAUCGCUCGCUCUCGCUCUCGCUCUCGAGUCUCGUCAAACCUUGGAGGAAGAUUGCCUUGGACUGGGCACUGGACUUGCUGAAUUUCUCAACCUAAAGGCAACAAUCUUGCUGUCUAUU